rnacentral:rRNA from 1 species
UACGGGGGGAGCAAGCGUUGUUCGGUUUUACUGGGCGUAAAGGGCGCGUAGGCGGCGCCGCAAGUCGGCUGUGAAAUCUCCGGGCUUAACCCGGAAAGGUCAGCCGAUACUGCGGGGCUAGAGUGCAGAAGGGGCAACUGGAAUUCUCGGUGUAGCGGUGAAAUGCGUAGAUAUCGAGAGGAACACCUGCGGCGAAGGCGGGUUGCUGGGCUGACACUGACGCUGAUGCGCGAAAGCUAGGGGAGCGAACGGG